AGAAAGGAUCCCUGUGGGUUAGCGAUUCCGUGCCACAGCCAGUUGCUGAACAAGGCUGCGAUAAGGAUAAAAUGAGCUUGAGGCACAGGGAAAAAGACUUCCUUUAUUUUCACUCCUGCACCCCUGAUACAAUGUCAUACAGACAUCCAAAACUAGGGUCUGUCCUCAUCCAGUACCUUGUUGUUCAAUGCAAAACCUCUGCAAAUGAAGAUCCCGUUCAGGAGCUUUUCAGAAAAGUCAUGCUACGUUUUGAAGGUUUCGAAGUCCAGGACGACAGACAGAUGCCGACCAUUGACAGAAACACCAUGACAAAGCUCUUUUACUUCUAUCCAGGCCUCUAAGACAGGACAUGCUCUCAACACCAGCUUUGUAAUCACAUUUUAAAAUAGGCAGAAUAAUAAAAAAUAUAUUUGGUUUGUUACUGUUCAGUGCUGCGUAUUUGGAUUACAUGAACUUCAUAUAAAAGAAACACGUGUUAAGAUGUCUGUGCUUUGGGUCUGAACUACUUUGCUUUUUUUUAAUGAUAUAUUGACAAUCAAUGAGCAUAAAUUUGGAUUUAAAAAUGUUUCAUUGUUGUAAGCCAUUUUUUGAAAACUAAAAGCAUUGUUUCUCUUA